AUGAACGCUAGCGACAGGCUUAACACAUGCAAGUCGAGGGGCAGCACAGGGUAGCAAUACUUGGGUGGCGACCGGCGCACGGGUGAGUAACGCGUAUGCAACUUACCUAUCAGAGGGGGAUAGCCCGGCGAAAGUCGGAUUAAUACCCCAUGAAACAGGGGUCCCGCAUGGGAAUAUUUGUUAAAGAUUCAUCGCUGAUAGAUAGGCAUGCGUUCCAUUAGGCAGUUGGCGGGGUAACGGCCCACCAAACCGACGAUGGAUAGGGGUUCUGAGAGGAAGGUCCCCCACAUUGGUACUGAGACACGGACCAAACUCCUACGGGAGGCAGCAGUGAGGAAUAUUGGUCAAUGGCCGAGAGGCUGAACCAGCCAAGUCGCGUGAAGGAAGAAGGAUCUAUGGUUUGUAAACUUCUUUUAUAGGGGAAUAAAGUGGAGGACGUGUCCUUUUUUGUAUGUACCCUAUGAAUAAGCAUCGGCUAACUCCGUGCCAGCAGCCGCGGUAAUACGGAGGAUGCGAGCGUUAUCCGGAUUUAUUGGGUUUAAAGGGUGCGUAGGUGGUGAUUUAAGUCAGCGGUGAAAGUUUGUGGCUCAACCAUAAAAUUGCCGUUGAAACUGGGUUACUUGAGUGUGUUUGAGGUAGGCGGAAUGCGUGGUGUAGCGGUGAAAUGCAUAGAUAUCACGCAGAACUCCGAUUGCGAAGGCAGCUUACUAAACCAUAACUGACACUGAAGCACGAAAGCGUGGGGAUCAAACAGGAUUAGAUACCCUGGUAGUCCACGCAGUAAACGAUGAUUACUAGGAGUUUGCGAUACAAUGUAAGCUCUACAGCGAAAGCGUUAAGUAAUCCACCUGGGGAGUACGCCGGCAACGGUGAAACUCAAAGGAAUUGACGGGGGCCCGCACAAGCAGUGGAGUAUGUGGUUUAAUUCGAAGCAACGCGAAGAACCUUACCAGGUCUUGACAUCGAGUGACGUACCUAGAGAUAGGUAUUUUCUUCGGAACACAAAGACAGGUGGUGCAUGGUUGUCGUCAGCUCGUGUCGUGAGAUGUUGGGUUAAGUCCCGCAACGAGCGCAACCCUUAUCACUAGUUACUAACAGGUGAAGCUGAGGACUCUGGUGAGACUGCCAGCGUAAGCUGUGAGGAAGGUGGGGAUGACGUCAAAUCAGCACGGCCCUUACAUCCGGGGCGACACACGUGUUACAAUGGCAUGGACAAAGGGCAGCUACCUGGCGACAGGAUGCUAAUCUCCAAACCAUGUCUCAGUUCGGAUCGGAGUCUGCAACUCGACUCCGUGAAGCUGGAUUCGCUAGUAAUCGCGCAUCAGCCAUGGCGCGGUGAAUACGUUCCCGGGCCUUGUACACACCGCCCGUCAAGCCAUGGGAGCCGGGGGUACCUGAAGUCCGUAACCGCAAGGAUCGGCCUAGGGUAAAACUGGUGACUGGGGCU
rnacentral:rRNA from 1 species